rnacentral:rRNA from 1 species
UUGGCGGACGGGUGGGUAACGCGUGGGGAACCUGCCCUGUACAGGGGGAUAACACUUAGAAAUAGGUGCUAAUACCGCAUAAGCGCACAGUAUCGCAUGAUACAGUGUGAAAAACUCCGGUGGUACAGGAUGGACCCGCGUCUGAUUAGCUGGUUGGCGGGGUAACGGCCCACCAAGGCGACGAUCAGUAGCCGGCCUGAGAGGGUGAACGGCCACAUUGGGACUGAGACACGGCCCAAACUCCUACGGAAGGCAGCAG